rnacentral:rRNA from 1 species
AUUGAACGCUGGCGGCAGGCCUAACACAUGCAAGUCGAGCGGAUGAAGGGAGCUUGCUCCUGGAUUCAGCGGCGGACGGGUGAGUAAUGCCUAGGAAUCUGCCUGGUAGUGGGGGAUAACGUCCGGAAACGGGCGCUAAUACCGCAUACGUCCUGAGGGAGAAAGUGGGGGAUCUUCGGACCUCACGCUCUCAGAUGAGCCUAGGUCGGAUUAGCUAGUUGGUGGGGUAAAGGCCUACCAAGGCGACGAUCCGUAACUGGUCUGAGAGGAUGAUCAGUCACACUGGAACUGGGACACGGUCCAGACUCCUACGGGAGGCAGCAGUGGGGAAUAUUGGACAAUGGGCGAAAGCCUGAUCCAGCCAUGGCGCGUGUGUUAAGAAGGUCUUCGGAUUGGAAAGCACUUUAAGUUGGGAGGAAGGGCAGUAAGUUAAUACCUUGCUGGUUUGACGUUACCAACAGAAUAAGCACCGGCUAACUUCGUG